UACAUGGGGUGCAAGCGUUGCUCGGAAUUAUUGGGCGUAAAGCGCGCGUAGGCGGUUACUGAAGUCGGAUGUGAAAGCCCUCGGCUUAACUGAGGAAGUGCACCCGAAACUGAGUAGCUAGAGUACUAAAGAGGGUCGCGGAAUUCCCGGUGUAGAGGUGAAAUUCGUAGAUAUCGGGAGGAACACCGGUGGCGAAGGCGGCGAGCUGGGUAGAUACUGACGCUGAGGCGCGAAAGCGUGGGGAGCAAACAGG
rnacentral:rRNA from 1 species